ensembl:lncRNA
CUGAGUUUUGAGGUCAGAGUUGAGGGACCCAAGUCCAGCCCCAGCUCUGCCUCCAGAGAGGUUAAGAAAGCCGCCACAAAUUAUCUAGCUAAAAGGCGACAGAUCAGCAAUUUGAGUUUUGCUUUGACUUUGACUCCAAAGCUCUUUCUACUGUCACACUGCCCUAGUGUAUUGGGUUCAUGCUGAAGUUUCUUAAAGAGGAAUUCCUAAGCCAGUUCAAGUGACGGUAGGGGAGCCCUUGGCAUGAACAGAAGAAUCUAAUUGUGCCCCUUUCCAUGUUACUCUGUUCUCAAGUUACUGGCCUCUUUUAUUCUUUUCAUCAUGCCCACCCAUUCCUGUGAAUGACUCCUGUAGCAUCACUAAAAUGUCAUGUCCAGCUUGUUCUCCAGGAAGAAUGAACGUGUGGAAGCUGGCAUUUGAUUUCUUCCUGUUGGCUACUGACCUUAGACAGCAUGGACAGUGUGGAUACUCACUCUAACAUCAGGCCACCGAGACAUGUUAUCAGCAACAAAAACAACAAUGACAACAACUCUUGUCAGAGACCAAAGUGCCAGAAACUAGAGAUGAAAAGACAACCCCUCCUCCCUAGUCUUCUUCUGUGUCCCUGGGGUUUCUUUGGCAGCAAUGUUUUAUAUAUUACCUCAGGAGACCUGUAGCUGUGAGUAGCAGUGUUUCCUGGAAACAGAGGCAGAAGGUUCCUGCUUCCUUUAUGGCAGGCUCAUGUUCUCACUCAGGGAAUCAAGCAUUUCUUCAUACAAGUGGAAGCACAUGGUCUUUCCUUUCCUGGUUCAGCAGUUCCCACCCCCAGCAUCAGGCCAAGUCAAGACAAGUAGGGCUGUGACCUGGAGGAGUCUCCGUGAGCCCCGCGAGAGAGUUUGGAGUGUCUCUCAGACAACAAAACUUUGAUGGACUUUGACUUCGGCCAUGACUCUUUUUCCUGGCAAACUACAUGUUGGAUGACCAAAGAAGAUGCUCUCUGCAGAGUGUAAUCCAGUCACCAAAGCCAGAGGUUGAGGGGAAGUUGCCAUUUUCCCUUGUUGUUUACCUGUCAAGGGUCCGUUGCCCCGAAUCUUUCAGUUAUUGGUAUCCUGGCUGAGUACCUCUGCCCUGGUAUUUGAGUGUGUAUAUCAGCAGUGCUCGUGGCACUGCUUUGAAGUUUGUGGUCCUGCCACUCUAACUGUAUGACUUCGGGCCUUCAGUUAAUCUAAGUUUCAAAUUUCUCCUCUGUAUGAUGGGAAUAGUUAUGCCUGUCCUGCUUGCUUGAUCAGAUACAACCCCAAUUUUGUAAAUCUGAGAACUUAGGGUCCCAGAGCUGGGUAGGGAGCUUAUGUGCUAACCCACACAGCCUUUGUCUGCUUGAAACAGCCACCCCUCACUGGCAUCCUGGAUAAAUGAUCCUCCAACUUCAAACUGAGCUCUGGCUGGGGAUCUGCCCACUCAGGAGCUCUGAUUGUUAGAAAAUUCUUCCACGGGCUGAGCUGAAAUCUGAACCCUCCAGUAACUUUUACCCGCUGGUUUCUAUUUUCUAUCUCACCUGGACUCAACAAUACAUUUUUAUCACAAAGGUAUUCUGUAUAUUGAAGACUACUGUAAAAAGUCCCACCAUAGUUGUUGUUUUUUUUUUUCUAAUUAGUUAUCAAGUCAUCUCUUCAGCUC